CUCUGUGAGAAGGCAGGCCUCCUGCAGCAAGCACUGGAGCACUACACCGACCUCUAUGACAUCAAGAGGGCUGUGGUCCACACUCACCUCCUCAAUCCCGAGGCCUCUUCUACUUCCUGGGCUCAAUCGUGAACUUCAGCCAAGACCCAGAUGUGCAUCUGAAAUACAUUCAGGCUGCCUGUAAGACAGGGCAGAUCAAGGAGGUGGAGAGGAUAUGCCGAGAGAGCAGCUGCUACAACCCAGAGCGUGUGAAGAACUUCCUGAAGGAGGCCAAGCUCACAGACCAGCUUCCCCUCAUCAUCGUGUGUGAUCGUUUUGGCUUUGUCCAUGACCUUGUCCUAUAUUUAUACCGCAACAACCUGCAGAGGUACAUUGAGAUCUACGUGCAGAAGGUCAACCCUAGCCGGACCCCAGCUGUGAUUGGAGGGCUGCUUGAUGUGGAUUGUUCUGAGGAAGUGAUUAAACACUUAAUCAUGGCAGUGAGAGGACAGUUCUCUACUGAUGAGUUGGUGGCUGAAGUAGAAAAAAGAAAUAGGCUCAAGCUGCUGCUUCCCUGGCUGGAGUCCCAGAUUCA
rnacentral:lncRNA from 1 species